rnacentral:rRNA from 1 species
GAUUAACGCUGGCGGUAUGCCUAACACAUGCAAGUCGAACGGAAUACUAAUUAAGAGAAUCUCACACUAGUGAGAGGUUCUCACGAGUAGUAUUUAGUGGCGGACGGGUGAGUAACACGUUGGAACCUGCCCCGAAGUGGGGAAUAACUGCUCGAAAGAGUAGCUAAUACCCCAUAGUAUCCGGUUUAUCCGGAUUAAAGAUUUAUCGCUUCGGGAGGGGCCUGCGUCUGAUUAGCUUGUUGGUGAGGUAAAAGCUCACCAAGGCGACGAUCAGUAGCUGGUUCGAGAGGAUGACCAGCCACACUGGGACUGAGAUACGGCCCAGACUCCUACGGGAGGCAGCAGUGAGGAAUCUUCCACAAUGGACGAAAGUCUGAUGGAGCAAUACCGCGUGCAGGAAGACGCUUUUCGGAGUGUAAACUGCUUUUGUCGUCGAAGAUUAUGACUGUAGACGAAGAAUAAGGACCGGCUAACUACGUG